GUGGGAGGAUGUGCGUUGUCCCGUUCCUCAAAUCCCAGAAAAAGAGAAUGGCAACAUUUUAUGGUUUUAGAAGCGACUUUUGAAGUUUAAAAAAUAAAGGUGAACAGCUUACGAAAUAAAUAAAAGGCGAAAAAAUCAAAAGAUAUUUCCAAAAAUAAAUGAACUUCGAACGAGUGCAGACGGAUCGUGAAUGCCCGCCGAAUGUGAAGUGAGUGCGAAGCCGAAGACACUUCAGCGCAAAAGAAUUUGGGAAGGAAACUUCAUGUAAAUAACAGGAGCAAAAUGGCCCUCCUCUUCGCCGGUGCGGACACAGGACAGGUUCCGACGAGUCACUGGAAGCUCAAUUCAGUCCGAAAACAGAG